GAUGAAGAACGCAGCGAAAUGCGAUACGUAAUGUGAAUUGCAGAAUUCAGUGAAUCAUCGAGUCUUUGAACACACAUUGCGCCCCCUGGUAUUCCGGGGGGCAUGCCUGUCCGAGCGUCAUUGCUGCCCUCAAGCACGGCUUGUGUGUUGGGCCUCCGUCCUCCUCCCGGGGGACGGGCCCGAAAGGCAGCGGCGGCACCGCGUCCGGUCCUCGAGCGUAUGGGGCUUCGUCACCCGCUCUUGUAGGCCCGGCCGGCGCUUGCCGACACAUCAAUCUUUUUUCCAGGUUGACCUCGGAUCAGGUAGGGAUACCCGCUGAACUUAAGCAUAUCAAUAAGCGGAGGA
rnacentral:misc_RNA from 1 species